rnacentral:tRNA from 1 species
AGAAACUUAGGAUCACCUAAACCGAAG